GACGAACGCUGGCGGCGUGCUUAACACAUGCAAGUCGAACGGUGAAGCUCCAGCUUGCUGGAGUGGAUCAGUGGCGAACGGGUGAGUAACACGUGAGCAACCUGCCCCAGACUCUGGAAUAAGCGCUGGAAACGGCGUCUAAUACUGGAUACGAGAUCAAGCCGCAUGGUUAUGGUCUAGAAAGUUUUUCGGUUUGGGAUGGGCUCGCGGCCUAUCAGCUUGUUGGUGAGGUAAUGGCUCACCAAGGCGACGACGGGUAGCCGGCCUGAGAGGGCGACCGGCCACACUGGGACUGAGACACGGCCCAGACUCCUACGGGAGGCAGCAGUGGGGAAUAUUGCACAAUGGGCGAAAGCCUGAUGCAGCGACGCCGCGUGAGGGAUGACGGCCUUCGGGUUGUAAACCUCUUUCAGCAGGGAAGAAGCGAAAGUGACGGUACCUGCAGAAGAAGCACCGGCUAACUACGUG
rnacentral:rRNA from 1 species